rnacentral:lncRNA from 1 species
UUGUUUCUUAGCUUUCUGAUCUGGGUGUCUAUGAUCCGCACUGGCUGCUCAACAUAGGUGAGAUCCUCUUGGAUCUCCACAUCAGGCUCACUAAGAACCUUGCCCAGAUCUGACACAAAUUUCCUCAACAUUGAAACAUGGAAAACCGGAUGGAUUCUUGCCAUUGAAGCAGGCAAAUCUAGCUUGUACGACACAUUCCCAAUCUUCUGCAA